rnacentral:rRNA from 1 species
AGUAAUCACAGGUCAGCAUACUGUGGUGAAUACGUUCCCGGGCCUUGUACACACCGCCCGUCACACCAUGAGAGUUGAGAAUACCCGAAGCCCAUGUCAAAGUGGUCGAAGGUAGGCUUGAUGAUUGGGGUGAAGUCGUAACAAGGUACC